GGGGCGGGGAGGGGGCGUUCCUGCGACCCGCCGCCCGUGAUGUCACAAUCGCGGCUGGCCCUGGCGUUCCCGGGUCGGCUUGGGGCGCCCGGCUGCAGGGCGGCGAUUGAAGCGGGCCGCUGGCUCCCGAGUCAUGGAGUUCCCCUGGCCCCUCCUCUACCACUCCCACUCCCGCGCUGGGCCCCCCCGCGGGGGCUAGCGUCCGCGCGGCGGCUCCGAGGGGGUGGGGCUGCAGGGAAUGGCUGUGCCCCCUUCGGCUCCCCUGCCGUGCUCGCCCUUUUACCUGAGGAGGCAGGCGCCUUGCCCACAGUGCUCAUGGGGCAUGGAGGAGAAGGCGGCGGCCGGCGCGGGCUGCCGGGAGCCGCCGGGCCCCCGAGGGCCGCCGCCGUCCCGUGCUUUGGCAUAUCCGUGGACCACAACGACAUCCUCCCCGGCGCCCUGCGCCUCAUCCGGGAGCUGCGACCGCAUUGGAAGCCCGAGCAAGUUCGGACCAAGCGCUUCACUGAUGGCAUCACCAACAAGCUGGUGGCCUGCUACGUGGACGAGGACAUGCGGGACUGUGUGCUGGUCCGGGUGUACGGGGAGCGGACGGAGCUGCUGGUGGACCGAGAGAAUGAGGUCAGGAACUUCCAGCUGCUGCGGGCACAUGGCUGCGCCCCCAAACUCUACUGCACCUUCCAGAACGGGCUGUGCUACGAGUACAUGCAGGGCAUGGCCCUGGGGCCUGAGCAUAUCCGUGAGCCCCGGCUCUUCAGGCUCAUCGCCUUAGAAAUGGCAAAGAUUCACACCAUCCACGCCAAUGGCAGCCUGCCCAAGCCCAUCCUCUGGCACAAGAUACACAAUUAUUUCACCCUUGUGAAGAAUGAAAUCAACCCCAGCCUUUCUGCAGAUGUCCCUAAAGUGGAGGUGUUGGAACAGGAGCUGGCCUGGCUGAAGGAGCAUCUGUCUCAGUUGGAUUCCCCUGUGGUGUUUUGUCACAAUGACCUGCUCUGCAAGAAUAUCAUCUAUGACAGCACCAAAGGUCAUGUCCGAUUCAUUGACUAUGAAUAUGCCGGCUACAACUACCAAGCUUUUGACAUUGGCAACCAUUUCAAUGAGUUUGCAGGUGUGAAUGAGGUCGAUUACUGCCUGUACCCGUCGCGGGAGACCCAGCUGCAGUGGCUGCGCUACUACCUGCAGGCACAGAAGGGGAUGGCUGUGACCCCCAGGGAGGUGGAGAGGCUCUACGUGCAAGUCAACAAGUUUGCCCUGGUGAGUGCGUGUGACUGGGAGGCGGAGGGGAAGGAGGAGCCAGGAGGAGGGACUCAGGGCUUACCCCCAGCUCCUACCUCCCCACAGCCCAGGGAGGAGGAAGCCCAGCCCAGGGUCAGGGGUGAGGCCCUGGAGACUCUCGUGCUAUGUUCUAGAGCCCCAAACCAGAGGGGCCGUCUGGAAAGAGACAUCUUGGGCCUCCGGUUAAUAGUAAAAUGCCCUGUUCACUGCUUUCCUCUCAUUCCAUCAAGUCCAGGUUUUCUCCUUACCAGGGAACGACUUCCAAAGAGAUCUCAGCUUCCUACUAUCUCUCACUGAGAUAAGUUCUUUCUAGUGUCUAACCUUGGCCUUUUAUGCUGCAGUUAAACACCCCCCCCCCGUUUUUUUAAGCCUCUAGAGGAGAUAGAGAAUGUUAGUUCUUUUUUUUUUUUUUUUUUUUUUUUUUUUUUUUUUUUUUUUUGUCUUUUGUCUUUUUAGAGCCACACCCAUGGCACAUGGAGGUUCCCAGGCUAGGGGUUGAAUUGGAGCUACAACUGCCGGCCACAGCCACAGCCACAGCCACAGCCACGCCAGAUCCGAGCCACGUCUGCAACCUACACCAUAGCUCACAGCAACUCCAGAUCCUUAACCCGCUAAGUGAGGCCAGGGAUCGAACCUGCAACCUCAUGGUUCCUAGUUGGAUUUGUUUCUGCUGCAUCACAGCGGGAACUCCAAGAAUGUCAGUUCUAAUCCCCCUUUUUAACUACCUCCACUGUCUCAGACCCCUAUGUAAGCCUUUCCCGUCAGGCUCUUCCUUCUCAAAUCACUGUGCUGUCAGUUCUAGAUUUUGAGUGCUGCUUAGCCAAGGUACAUGCCAGGUCUCCAUUGCUGGGUGCCCAGGGGAUUGCUGACUAGUCUUGCUAAUGUCAGCCAUGCAUAAGCAAGAAGAUGAGUCAGCUGUCCUGAAUUAAAUAAAAGCUUUAAUUACCUGUACUUUUGGAUUGCGGAUUCUAUUUUCCAUAUUGGUAUAAAACUGAUUCUCAUCAGGUUCUUCCUCUUAAGUGUUCCACCCAUGCCUUCCUCUUGCUAAACUUUUUUUUUUUUUUUUUUUUAGGGCUAUAGGUGCAACAUAUGGAAGUUCCUAGGCUAGAGAUCAAAUCAGAGCUACAGCUGCCUGCCUAUGCCACAGCUACAGCAACACCAGAUCCGAGCUGCAUUUGUGACCUACACCACAGCUCAUGGCAAUGCUGGAUAGUUAACCCACCAAGAAGGGCUGGGGAUCGAACCCUCAUCCUCAUGGAUACGAGUCUGGUUCAUUUCUACUGAGCCACAAUGGGAACGUCCCUCUUGCUAAAUCUGUAGUGAUGAUUCCCACUUGCUAAUUAAUCUCCAUCCCUUUAAGUUAUGGGAGAGGAAUAGCAUGGAGGGAGGAACUAUAGAGUCAACCCCAGAGUGGGCAGGACUUAGGGUGGGAUGGGAGGGCUGCGGGAGUGGGCCCCCUGGCCUGGGAAUGCAGUGGUGGCACAGCUGUUUGUCCAGGAAUAGCAGGAACCAUGGUGCUCUGGCUUCUUGAGCCCAGGGUAGCCUGGGCCCCCUGGUUGUCUGGCUCUGGGGAGGCAGGUGACCUACGGCACGGGGAUCGGUGCCUGGCUCAGACCUUCCUCCCAUGUCUAUGCUCAUUCUCUAACCUGAGCUCCUCAUGGUAGGAGACAGGGAAGGGGAGGAGGAGGUCAGCUUAGGGGUCUUCCAGCAACUGGCCCUAUGAUGCCCAUGUGACCAGGGCACUACGGACAGGGUGCCAGCCCCUGCACUGGCCACCAGGCCUAGGCUCUGGCUUAGGGAUUCCUCUCAUCCUGGAUACUUUGGCCUUAAAGAGUCUCUUGGGUAGGGAAGAGACCAGGGAUGGAGCUUGGGUCCUGCUUAGGCUGGGGAGCAGGUUGAAAGCCCCCAUCCUGCUUAAGCCCCAGAAGGGGUAGAGCCUACUCUGCUUGCCUUUUUUUAGAAGGAGUGGAGCCCCCAAAUAUCGUCAGUGACUUGACCUCUGCGAUAUCCCCCAUCUGUGCCAGGAGGACCCCACCCUGUCUCUGCCAGUGUCCUCGUAUCUCUGAUGGUGACUGUAUCCCUCCAGGUCUGGGGGUCCGUGACAGGUGUGUGGGGGGGGUCACCACACUGACCUUGUCUGAUCCGUUUUCAGGCGUCUCACUUCUUAUGGGCCCUCUGGGCCCUCAUCCAGAGCCAGUUCUCCACCAUUGACUUCGAUUUCCUCAGGUACGCAGUGAUCCGAUUCAACCAGUAUUUCAAGGUGAAGCCUCAAGUAUCGGCCUUGGAGAUGCCAAAGUGACCAGCUUCCCCCUCCCUCUCCUACCCAUCUGCCUGGCCAGACCCAUCCUCCAGGGCUCAGUUCUGCUCUGGGGUCUGCACCCUCGGACAAGAUGGGAGAGGGGACAGGUGGGUGUCCCAGGAGAAGGCUCUGCCCCUGCUGCCAGCCCCUGGGACGCUGCUGGUGACCACAUUCUCCUUUGGAGGGGUUGACAGGACCCAGCUCUGGGGAUCGUCUUCACCUUAUCAGACUUGGGGUCGGUGGUGGCAGAGGGCCUGUGGCCAGCCAGGACUCUGACCACACCCAUCCCGGGAAGCCCGGCAUUCCUAGCCCGGGGCCAUGCUGGAAUCUGGGCUGCCUUAGAUGUGUCUUUGACCUUGCUGGCCUGGGGAAGGGGGAAGGUGGGAGGGCUCCAUUCUACCUCCAGUGCCCUGAGCCUCCAGCCUGUCUACCCCUGCAUGCCCCACAUGGGAGGUGCUGAACUCAAACCAGCAUCCUGCCAGCUCUGACAGAUGGAUGUAGAUAUUUGGGGUAGGGGAGGUCCUAGAAUUAGGUUUGAUGGCUCGCCCAGCAGCCACCUCAUCUGAGAUCCCUGUGUUUCUCCAAAUCAGAUCCAAUCCAAUAACCCCUUCCCAAACCUCAGCCCAAGGACAUGUGCUCUCCUCCAGGCUUGGGUUCUGUCUCUCUGCCACCUGCUGGGAGGGAAGGGAAUGGUGACAUCUUGGGCCACCAAGGGCUGGCUCUGCUUCAUGCUGUGGCUUGGCUGGAGGGAACGUAGCCAGCAGCCUCCUGCCUUGCUCCCUCCCCUUCCCUCCUCAAGUGGAUCCAGGGUCUCGCUGCUGGGGAACGACUCGUGAGAGUUAAACAGCAGGGCCAGGGACCGGGGCCAGGGACCUCAGGGGCUUGCCCAGUGUGGGGGAGCCUGGGUGGGAUGGGUUGUGAAGGUGCUGAAGGAGCUGCCACCCCUGACUCCCAAUGGCCUCCACCUCCCUUCUGCCCUCACAGCCUCAUGGGCUUUCCUGCCUCUGACCUAUAAAAUGAUUCAUUUGUAAAUUAUCAUGGUUUUCUGCAUUAAACUGACCAUUUAUGGAC